rnacentral:rRNA from 1 species
GAUGAACGCUGGCGGCGGGCCUAAUACAUGCAAGUCGACCGAACAGACGAGGAGCUUGCUCCUCUUACGUUAGCGGCGGAGGGGUGAGUAACACUUGGAUAACCUACCGAUGAUACUUGGAUAGCUGCGGCGGACCGGAGCCGAUACCGCACAAUAUAUUGAACCACUUAGUUCAAUAGUGAUAGUCGGUUUUGCUGUCACUGAUAGAUGGAACCGCGCCGCAUUAGCUAGUUGGUAAGGUAACGGCUUACCAAGGCAACGAUGCGUAGCCGACCUGAGAGGGUGAUCGGCCACACUGGAACUGCGACACGGUCAAGACGCCUCACGCACGCACCCGACGGGAAUCUUACCCAAUGGGGGAAAGCAUCCCGGAGCAACCCCGCGUGAGUGAUGAAAGUCUUCGCAGCGUAACACACUGUUCUUAGGGAGGAAGAAAUGUGUAAGUCUGUGUGGACGUCUUGACGGUAGCUAUGAACAAAGCCACGGCUAAUUUCGUG